rnacentral:rRNA from 1 species
UACGAAGGGGGCUAGCGUUGCUCGGAAUGACUGGGCGUAAAGGGCGCGUAGGCGGCCUUGUAAGUCGGGCGUGAAAUUCCUGGGCUCAACCUGGGGACUGCGUUCGAGACUGCGGGGCUUGAGGACGGAAGAGGCUCGUGGAAUUCCCAGUGUAGAGGUGAAAUUCGUAGAUAUUGGGAAGAACACCGGUGGCGAAGGCGGCGAGCUGGUCCGUAUCUGACGCUGAGGCGCGACAGCGUGGGGAGCAAACAGG